UGUCCUAUGGACAGUAGAUUCACAUCCAUAUGUCCUAUGGCCAGUAGAAGUACAUCCAUAUGUCCUAUGGACAGUAGACUCACAUCCAUAUGUCCUAUGGCCAGAAGAAGUACAUCCAUAUGUCCUAUGGACAGUAGAAGCACAUCCAUAUGUCCUAUAGCCAGUAGAAGUACAUCCAUAUGUCCUAUGGCCAGUAGAAGCACAUCCAUAUGUCCUAUAGCCAGUAGAAGCACAUCCAUAUGUCCUAUGGCCAGUAGACAUACAUCCAUAUGUCCUAUGGACAGUAGAAGCACAUUCAUAUGUCCUAUGGACAGUAGACAUACAUCCAUAUGUCCGAUGGACAGUAGAAGCACAUUCAUAUGUCCUAUGGACAGUAGACAUACAUCCAUAUGUCCUAUAGCCAGUAGAAGCACAUCCAUAUGUCCUAUGGCCAGUAGAAGUGUAUCCAUAUGUCCUAUGGACAGUAGACCCAAUCCAUGUGUCCUAUGGACAGUAGACUCACAUCCAUAUGUCCUAUGGACAGUAGACUCAUAUCCAUAUGUCCUAUGACUAGUAGACCCAUAUCCAUA
rnacentral:lncRNA from 1 species